rnacentral:rRNA from 1 species
CACUUUUGCUAUACUGGACUGAAAGCACCUGAUCUCCUCUGAACUUGGAAGCUAAGCAGACCAGGGCCUGGGAGUAGCUGGAUGGGAAAAAAAUCACCUGAAAAUAGGCAAACGUCCAAGAGUCAUAGUCA